rnacentral:rRNA from 1 species
CUAGCUGAGAGGAGGUGCAUGGCCGUCGUCAGUUCGUACUGUGAAGCAUCCUGUUAAGUCAGGCAACGAGCGAGACCCACGCCAACAGUUGCCAGCUCGUCCUCCCGGGGAUGGUGGGGACACUGUUGGGACCGCCUCUGCUAAAGAGGAGGAAGGAAUGGGCAACGGUAGGUCAGCAUGCCCCGAAUUAUCUGGGCUACACGCGGGCUACAAUGGGUGGGACAAUGGGUAUCGACACCGAAAGGUGAAGGCAAUCUCCUAAACCCAUCCGUAGUUCGGAUUGUGGGCUGCAACUCGCCCACAUGAAGCUGGAAUCUGUAGUAAUCGUGUCUCAAAAUGGCACGGUGAAUAUGUCCCUGCUCCUU